UACGGGGGGGGCAAGCGUUGUUCGGAAUUACUGGGCGUAAAGGGUCUGUAGGUGGCUUGCUAAGUCAGACGUGAAAUCCCUCAGCUUAACUGGGGAACUGCGUCUGAGACUGAUGAGCUUGAGUGCAGGAGAGGAAUGCGGAAUUCCAGGUGUAGCGGUGAAAUGCGUAGAUAUCUGGAGGAACACCGGUGGCGAAGGCGGCAUUCUGGACUGCAACUGACACUGAGAGACGAAAGCCAGGGGAGCAAACGGG
rnacentral:rRNA from 1 species